CGGGAACAGCCUGUCGUGUGGCCACCGCGCCCGGCGACACAUUCCCACAAAGUCACAGCACAUGAACUCGAAUACGCAUUUAAACACGGAACAGAGUGGACAUGCGGGGACGUACAGGCGACACGGUGCGCACACACGACAUUACCGGAGUAAAAGCCGUCGUGAAUUUCGUUUUGUCAAGAACGCCACGUUUCCACAAAAAAAAAAAAGCGGGUCCCCGAAGCCCCGCGCCCGCUUACCUUCGACGGCGAGAGGACGUUUAACCGCGACGGGGCGCCGGCGACUUCCAUCCCGUCGUAUUCCCACAUUGUCCCCGAGAGGCGCGCGCCGGGUGUCCCCGCUUCUCCGGACGCGGUCCACGGCGACCAGGUGGGCGACCAGGCGACCGACCGGGAGUCCCCGCUUCCCCGGACGCGGCGUCCAGGCCUGCGAUUGGUAAUCGUUCAGAGUGUUUCCACGCCGUGACUCAGGCUCUUGACAUACUCCUCACAGAAGAGCCGAAGACCUAGACAGAGGGUGAGUGCCAGGGUUGGGGGAGGGCGGUGCAUCUGUGUUCCAGCAACAAAACAAACAGCUUCGAGAGCCUCUUAGGAAGCGCAUUCUGCCUCCCCGUCUGUCACAGCUGCUGACUUAUUCCCCGAAGGCGCCGGCUCGCCACAAACCUGAUCACAGCGGCGCCGGGUUUUAAUGAAGAAGCCCAACCCUUCGACAAAUUUGCCCGCCAGGAAAGAUCGGUGGGCACCAUACACCGCGUCGCUGCACUUUCUCAGGUCUUUCUUUCAAGCGCAAACGUCCGCUCGGAAUAUUUGGUGCUGAGCUCAGUGACACAUUUGUCAUCUGUCACCGGUUUUUAUCUGAUGUUUUAUUAGGGCACAGGGAGAGGUGGCGUUGGCGCGGUUUUUCUCACGCUGGAGUGCCAGGCGUCGGAGAAGAUAAGAAAAGGCCAAAGGUCAAUUCCAAGCCAUCGCAGUGAAGGGAUUUCAAGCCUCUGGUUAGAUCAGAGCUGUGAUGAAAUCACUUAAAGCGUUGGGACGGGUGUUAAGCAGUAACAUUUCAAAUUCUGUCAGUAUAAGCGUCAUUCUGGAGUUUUCUGAAGCAUUUCUCAGAUGCCAGCAACAACAAUGAUGGUGCUAAAGAUUGAACAGCCAAUCAUUUGUUAGAAAAAAAAAAAAAAAAAAACGUUCUCUGAUUGGAAAAGAUCCAGGGGAACGUCGUGAUUUCUUGCUCUCGCCACCCCCUCCACAAUCUCCCACAUCAACAGAUGGUUCUCACUUCAAUUUAUAGAGAUUUAAUGAGGGUUUGAACAGAUGUGUCACUUAUUAAAAUCACUUUCGUUUAGAAUAAUGUAAUAUUUCUGUGUUUCCUGAGAGUUGUCGGCAGAACGCAUUAAACUGCUGUGAUGAUAGUACCUCCCCACCCCCCGCCAUUAAAAAAAAAAAAUAAAAAAUACAGAAAGCUUCAUUCUGCAUUUUCGAGGAUCACAAACGCAUAUGGUGUGGAGUCCACAAUCAGCCGGAAACAGGGCCGUCGUAUCGCAGCUCUUUGCCAAAAUAAAAUCCAUCGGCGCUUAUCACAGCGGGACUUCAGCAACAUGCUGGGGAAACAAAAAAGUUUAAAGAAGCAGAAAUGACAUCAGAACAAACCGCGUGUUUCCUUCUCCAGGAACAGCGCUGCCAUACGCUGGGGUUCCGUCAGCGUCAUUGUUCUUUCUGUCAGAAUAAAAGGAAAUAAGACCGUGCUGACGCCCGAUGAAGGGCUGGCAUGAAACAGGCCGCGCCAUUGUUCCGCGGUGAGCCUCAUACAUGGUGGAUAACACACGUGAGCGUUAUCAAAAAUGCGGUAUGGUUGGGUUGGUUGGGUUAAUAUGUCAGUCUUUUCUCAAAAUCGCUGCUGCAGCUGCUGCAGAACCUCAUAAAGCAACUACAAGAGAUCCCUUUCUACGAUGCACAUUUCUAAUGAAAAGACGAGGAGGUUUAACUCACGGCAGAAGAAAACUAGACAUGAAACCUUUCUCGGCCAUUCUCUGCCUCUAAGUGUGGCCCAUAUUCCUGUAUCAGUUGUACAGUGCUACCCCCUGCCUCUGCUUCUGUUUGUUCUCUCCAAGGCACACCGAAUCAAGUGCCCGGACCUCCUCCAGAGUCUGAGGAUAAGGCCACCAGAGAGACACCACAACGACCCCAGGCCCCACCAGAACAGAUUCACGACUCUGAGAAACAUCGGCAAAGAAGAUAAGAAAUAAUGGACUUCCUAUACGCGUACAAGAUCCUAUACAAGUUGCUCUAUAUGGAACAAACUAGAGAUCCUGGCCAGAAUCUGUUCAUCAGUCCAAUUGAAGCUUUGUGGGAAAUUAAGAAGAUGGGAUUCCUGACAUGUCAUGCACUACUUUUGAACUGCGCAAGUGCAGCAGUACAUGUGAAUCGUGGGACUUGUUAACUUGUGUAAGAUCAAACAUAAAUGGAUAUAUCUUGUAAAUAUUUCACACAAAAUGUUAUUUUUUAUUAUAUUUUCAUAAACUGACGAUAAAAUGAGAGGAGCCCCUCAUGCACACGAC
ensembl:lncRNA